UACGGGGGGGGCAAGCGUUGUUCGGAAUUACUGGGCGUAAAGGGCGCGUAGGCGGUUCGUUAAGUCCUGUGUGAAAUCCCCCGGCUCAACUGGGGAACUGCACAGGAAACUAGCGGGCUUGAGUUCGGGAGAGGGAAGCGGAAUUCCGGGUGUAGCGGUGAAAUUCGUAGAUAUCGGGAGGAACACCGGUGGCGAAGGCGGCGACCUGGGUCGAUACUGACGCUGAUGCGCGAAAGCGUGGGGAGCAAACAGG
rnacentral:rRNA from 1 species